AGCGACUCUCUGGUCUGUUACUGACGCUGAGGCUCGAAGCGUGGGGAGCAAACAGGAUUAGAUACCUGGUAGUCCACGCCGUAAACGAUGAGUGCUAAGUGUUAGGGGGUUCCGCCCUUUAGUGCUGCAGCUAACGCAUUAAGCACUCCGCUGGGGAGUACGACCGCAAGGUUGAAACUCAAAGGAAUUGACGGGGGCCCGCACAGCGGUGGAGCAUGUGGUUUAAUUCGAAGCAACGCGAAGAACCUUACCAGGUCUUGACAUCCUUUGACCACUUUAGAGAUAAAGCUUUCCCUUCGGGGACAAAGUGACAGGUGGUGCAUGGUUGUCGUCAGCUCGUGUCGUGAGAUGUUGGGUUAAGUCCCGCAACGAGCGCAACCCUUAUUGUUAGUUGCCAUCAUUCAGUUGGGCACUCUAGCGAAACUGCCGGUGACAAACCGGAGGAAGGUGGGGAUGACGUCAAAUCAUCAUGCCCCUUAUGACCUGGGCUACACACGUGCUACAAUGGACAGUACAAUGAGCAGCGACACGGCGACGUGAAGCGAAUCUCAUAAAGCUGUUCUCAGUUCGGAUUGUAGGCUGCAACUCGCCUACAUGAAGCCGGAAUCGCUAGUAAUCGCGGAUCAGCACGCCGCGGUGAAUACGUUCCCGGGCCUUGUACACACCGCCCGUCACACCACGAAAGUUUGUAACACCCAAAGUCGGUGAGGUAACCUUCGGGAGCCAGCCGCCUAAGGUGGGAUAGAUGAUUGGGGUGAAGUCGUAACAAGGUAACCA
rnacentral:rRNA from 1 species